rnacentral:rRNA from 1 species
GACGAACGCUGGCGGCGUGCCUAAUACAUGCAAGUCGAACGCAGUGGGGACGGGAGAGUAACCCGUGGGUAACCUCCCAUCAGAGGGGAUAACACUUGGAAACCGGUGCUAAACCGCUAAUGAAUGAUGGACCAGCGGUGCAUUAGAGCGUUGGUGAGGUAAAGGCUCACCAAGGCCACGAUGCAUAGCCGACCGUAGAGGGUGAGCGGCCACACGGGAACUGAGACACGGCCCAGACUCCUACGGGAGUCAGCAGUAGGGAAUCUUCGGCAAUGGACGAAAGUAUGACCGAGCAACGCCGCGUGAGUGAAGAAGGGUUUCGGAUCGUAAAACUCUGGUGUCAGAAAAGCGGUAUCUAACCAGAAAGCCACGGCUAACUACGUGCCAGCAGCCGCGGUAAGAC